rnacentral:rRNA from 1 species
GACGAACCGUGCGAACGUUGUUCGGAAUCACUGGGCAUAAAGGGCGCGUAGGCGGCUCGCGAGGUCGGGGGUGAAAUCCUACAGCUUAACUGUGGAAGUGCCUUCGAUACCGGCGGGCUCGAGGAAGGUAGGGGUGCGCGGAACUUCUGGUGGAGCGGUGAAAUGCGUUGAUAUCAGAAGGAACGCCGGCGGCGAAAGCGGCGCACUGGACCUUUUCUGACGCUGAGGCGCGAAAGCCAGGGGAGCAAACGGG